rnacentral:Y_RNA from 1 species
GACUGGUCCGAUGGUAGAACUUAUUAACAUUAGUGUCACUAAAGUUGGUAUUCAACCCCCCGCUGCUAAAUUUGACUGGCUUUAA